ensembl:lncRNA
GGGUCCUGGGAGCUGUGUAUGUCCGCGGUGCGGGAGCGGUUCCAGGGAAGGGCCACGGAGCUGGUGAAGGGCUUGGAUCACAAGUGUGAUGAGGAGCAGCUGGAGGAACUGGUGGUAUUAGUCUGGAGAAGAGAAGGCUCAGGGGGGACUUUAUCGUUCUCUACAACUGCCUGAAAGGAGGAUGGAGCCAGGAGUGGUCUAUCCUGAUUUGCUGUCUGGAAUCUCUUCUGCAAGGUUUGCUGGGAAGCCUUGGAAGAUGUGGUGCUUCUAUAACAUCUUUAUGCUAGAAACACAAGGAGCAUGUGACUAGAAGUGGUAUUCUUUGCUGCUUAGCUGAAGAAGAAAGGAUGUUACAGACUGUGUCUAGAUGCAGUUCUAUUCAACCUGACGGAUGAGAUACCUAUAUUCCCUGAUGUGAACAAAACCAACUUGAAUUCCAGUGAUUCUUCAGACACUUUCUUACAGGGAUCAAUGUAUGCUUUCCUUCUGUUAGCAAUGCAAACUAAAGGGAUCAGUUUUAAUAGGACAUACUUUCAAAUAUUUAUUUUCCCAUAUUUUUUUAAAGAAUCCAGCUUGGCAUGCUAGAGUGGCAACUUAUCAGAAGCAUCCAGGUCAUAAAUCACUGUUGCUAUUUCAUGUUGCAUUUCAGACUGUAAUUUUUCUUUUCUUCCUUCAAAUCUUUCAUGACUCAAAAAAGAAAAAAAAAAAAAAAAAAAGAAGGAAAAAAGAAAUUAUUGACAGAAAAAAACAACAAUCACAUGGAAGAAAAUGAGAAAGUAAUGAAAUUGUGUUUGGGUUGGGAUUGUGGGCAUAUGUAUCCAAUGUUUACUUCCAAAUUUUUCUACUACUAAGAUGUCAAUUCCUGUCAAAGUAUGGAUUGCUGCAAAUAAUUCUGGAGUAUAGAUUAGUGUUACAUUUGACUAGAGUGGAAAAAAGAGAUCAUCCUGAAUGUGCUACAUUUUCUUAAAUUUUGAGUGUUUUCUUAUUUGUCAACUAGCAUAGUUAUUGUUUAGGCAAAAUUUUCAUUAUUUUCAAUGGGAUUUCAGGCUUGGGCUGGCAAUCUGAUAAGGAAGUUACCUUUAUAUCCCUAUGGACCAUUCUUGCAUGCUGAAAUUGAUCUUUGUGUUUGCAGGCUCCUUCUGUCUUCUAUAGCACACUAGUUUCUUGAGCUUUUUAGGUUUUUUUAACUGAAGAGUCAUGGAGCUUUUUAUGAUGUGCAGCUGUAUGGGUAGUAUGGAAGGCUCUUUGAAGCCUUUUGGACUUGAUGGCUGUUGCUUUCCUGCUUGUUCUAGAUUGAGAGUCUAAAUACUGAUGAAUAUUGUUAUUUCUAGAACUGCUGUGGGUUUUCUCCUUUUAAUUUUUUUUUUUUUUUUAAGGUGGUGAGGUUUCAAAAGGCAGCAGUGCUAAUCAGGAGACCUAAUGCUAGUGAUAAUGCACUUCCCCUUGACUAGAUGCUUUUGCCAGUGUCCUCUUCCCAUGGCAUGCCAGUUCAGCUCUCUGGGCUGGUCAGCAGGGCUUGAGGGGAAAAGGGCUUUCUUGUGUGUAUUCAACCCAGGAACAAGAGCAGCCAUGAGGGAUAUCUGAGGCCAUACCACUAAGCAGGGAGUGAGGAGGGGACUAUCUGCCUCUUGUGAGAGCAAGGAGGCAGUAGGAGUUGACAUCUCUUUCAUGAAAUUUUACCCGAAAUGAGCCCUGAUGCUCUGUUCUCUGUAACACCUCUACAGCUUCUUUCCCUUGACAUUCUUGUUUGGCGUCUAUUGACCAUGACAAGUCCACAUUUAAUAAAAAUACUAGUAUUUGCUGGAUUUGAGUACUUUGUGUCUACAUACUUUCUUAGAGAGAGAUGUCUGAAUAUGGGUGAGUUUCUAAGAAAGCCAUUUGUAGGAUUUAUUUAUGCAUUUUAAGUUUUAUCCUUAAUUCUACUCUGCAUGGAUUUGGAGAAAAGAAGAGCAGUAUUGUAAGUGUAUUUUUGUCCUGAGUUCUAAUAAUGCUUUUGUGGCUCUGUGGUUUUAUUUCCUUAGACCACUCCAUGUACUAUUGCAACUAAGGUAGAGGGUUUUUUAAUAUAAACAUAAUUCCUGAUACACUUACUUUCUUCUGGAUUUUUUUUAAUAUCUCUUAAUUGUUUUAGAAUAGAUUUAUAGCAAUAUUGCUGCUAAGAGAAACAUAGUAGACUCUUAAGCUAGUAAGAAUAAUCAGUUCUAAACAAAAUGCAGAAAACUUGACUAUCAGAAACCAGUUUGAAAUUAUUAAUGUUUUUUCAUAAAUAGUUUUCUUACGUCUCUUCAAGAAUUAGCUUGAAAUAGUAUUUGUUGGAUUUUUGCUUGGGUUGUUUGUUUUGGUGUUUUUUUCCCCAAAUAAUUUUCUUACAUCUCUUCAAGAACGAAGGAUACUUAUGGAAAGCAAGUAGUUAAAAUUAACAUCAACUUGACACUGAAAAUGAAACAUACAUCACAAAGACCAAACAUUUUCCUGUCAAAAGGACAACUGCAAUUUGGGAAUCAGUAUAAUACAAAUUUAAAUGUCUGCUUUUCUUAGUUUCUGUUUAUCCUUUUAAUAUUUCAUUUUUAGAAUUUGCAUUUUGUUUAAAAAUAAUGUAUUUUCAGAAGUCUCUUGAAAAGUUUUAACAGGAGGAAUUUGUUUUAGGAAUGUCUUAACACAUAUUCGGCAUACAUAUUAUGUAGAAUGCGUAUAGUAUUUGGAUUUUUUUUUUUCUGUUCAAGCUUUGCACAUCUCAUAACAUUCACAGUUAAUGUAUGAUUGCCUGAUUGUUAUAAAUUUUUUUUGCCACUGUAAACUUCUAAGAAGUCUAAGCUCUUUUAUGCAUUUCAUGUAAUUAUAUGUAAAGUAUUUUAAAAUGAGAUUUUUGUGAUUGUCAGAACUCUAAAGUGGCGAUGUGAGGAAAGAAGUAAAGCUAUCCAAGGUAACUUACAUAACAAAAUCUAGAUGUAGGUCUCACAUGUAUGUAUAAGUGCUUAUGCAGUGUUUAAUAUGAAAGGACUUUCUAUGUAGGUUUAUUCUUUAGAUAGAUUUCUUUAGAAAUUGAUAUACUUAAAAGUAUGUGACUUGAUUUGAUAACAGUCUUAAGUUACACAUGGUGCUGAACAAUUCUACUUCUCAAAGGCUGAUACUGCUCGUGAGUUUUUAAUUAUUCUGUUAAGAUAAAAUUUUAUGUAGUAUUGUCAAGAAGCAUUGUCUUUGAAUAGAAGUAAUUGCUUAAGUUUGGAGGUACUAAAAACUAUUUAAACAAAUCCCUUGUUUUGUUUUAAAUAGUUGUAAUAACCAAUAUAAUCCUUUGAAUUCUGUUGAUAAUCCAGACAAAGAAGGGAAACCAAAGACUGAAUGAUGCCUAUGUAUAGCAGGCAUUUGGCUGCUGAUUGCCAAGUGCACAGUUCACCGUUCGGUCACCUCUGUCUGUCAGUUUAGUCCCUUUAAUGCAGUUCUCUGCAAUCUCCCUGUUCUCUAAAGCUUAUCUGGGGGCUUCAGACAUUGCCUAGCUCAUUAUUCCCCAAGGAAGGUUAAGGCCUUUAUUGUCUGACCAGAACUGCUCGCUAAUUAGAGCCCUUGUUUUGGCACUGAAUGUGUCAGGCCUGCAAGACUUCCUACUGGAAUCAGUGGCAUUCAUGUUUGCUUUCAUAAAUGCACAAUAGACAGGAAUCUUGGCAAAGACCUGCAUACUUAGCUUGUGCAAAGAAACAGGUUUGAGUCUUUUUUUGAAAUAAUGAUAAGUAGAAAGAGAGCUAUUGGAAUAUGUGCUGACUAUUCCACUGAAAAAAAGAGUGCUCUGCCUAAGGAGAGCCCAGUGUGCAGUUCAAACCCAUCAUGUAUUUGUACCCAUGUAGAAAUUUGGAGUCAGUAGUCUUUGUCAGUAGUCUUUUGUGAUGGUAAUUAUUCUCAGAAUUUAGGAAUUUUUGCAGUAAAUGCAAGGUCUGUAAGCAAUAUGAUUAAUUCAGGAUAUGUAUGUCAUGUUGCAAUUAAUAAAUAAUGAUUAUUGGCAAA